rnacentral:rRNA from 1 species
GAUCGGCCCGCGUCUGAUUAGGUAGUUGGUGGGGUAACGGCCUACCAAGCCUGCGAUCUGUAGCUGGUCUGAGAGGACGAUCAGCCACACUGGGGCUGAGACACGGCCCACACUCCUACGGGAGGCAGCAGUGGGGAAUCUUGCGCAAUGGGCGAAAGCCUGACGCAGCCAUGCCGCGUGAGUGAAGAAGGUCUUAGGAUUGUAAAGCUCUUUCGCUCGUGACGAUGAUGACGGUAACGAGAGAAGAAGCCCCGGCUAACUUCGUGCCAGCAGCCGCGGUAAUACGAAGGGGGCUAGCGUUGUUCGGAAUUACUGGGCGUAAAGCGCGCGUAUGCGGUUUUGCAAGCCAGAGGUGAAAUGCCUGAGCUCAACUUAGGAAUUGCCUUUGGGACUGCUAGGCUUUGAGGACUGGAGAGGUGAGUGGAAUUCCCAGUGUAGAGGUGAAAUUCGUAGAUAUUGGGAAGAACACCGGUGGCGAAGGCGGCUCACUGGCCAGUUUCUGACGCUGCAACGCGAAAGCGUGGGGAUCAAACAGGAUUAGAUACCCUGGUAGUCCACGCUGUAAACGAUGAGUGCUAGGCGUCGGCAGGCUUGCCUGUCNGUGCCGCAGCUAACGCGUGAACCACUCCGCCUGGGGAGU